GGAUAUGUCUAGGUGUGUGUUUCUCUUCCCUCUUAAACUGAGAUAUAAUUCACAUACCGAAAAAUUUACCCAUUUAAAUUGUACAGUUCAACAUUCUUUAGUAUACUCAGAGUUGUGUAACCAUCAUUACAAUCUAAUUUUAAAAACAUUUCAUUUCCCCCAAAAGAAAUCUUCCAUCCCUUCUCUUCUUGCCCAGUCUGUGUCUACAAAUAUACCUAUUCUGGAUAUUUCAUCUAAAUGGAAUCCACCUACAUUUGGAUACAAUCUUAAAAUUAUGCUAUUUAGGUUAUGUUGUACUUCUUAAAUUGUUGCUUUCAUCUGUUUUGGAAAAUUCUUAGCCAUCAUCUCUUUAAAUAUUGUAAUAUUCUCAUCCUCCUUUUCUCUGGGAUGCCCAUUUACAUGUAUAUGUAAUUAGACCUUUUCUUGUAUCCACGUUAUUUCUUGCCCUUCCCUCUGUCUCAU
rnacentral:lncRNA from 1 species